AUUGAACGCUGGCGGCAUGCUUUACACAUGCAAGUCGAACGGUAACAGGCCGCAAGGUGCUAACGAGUGGCGAACGGGUGAGUAAUGCAUCGGAACGUGCCCAGUCGUGGGGGAUAACGCAGCGAAAGCUGCGCUAAUACCGCAUACGAUCUAUGGAUGAAAGCGGGGGACCGUAAGGCCUCGCGCGAUUGGAGCGGCCGAUGUCAGAUUAGGUAGUUGGUGGGGGAAAGGCUCACCAAGCCGACGAUCUGUAGCUGGUCUGAGAGGACGACCAGCCACACUGGGACUGGGACACGGCCCAGACUCCUACGGGAGGCAGCAGUGGGGAAUUUUGGACAAUGGGCGCAAGCCUGAUCCAGCAAUGCCGCGUGCAGGAAGAAGGCCUUCGGGUUGUAAACUGCUUUUGUACGGAACGAAACGGUCCUGGUUAAUACCCGGGGCUAAUGACGGUACCGUAAGAAUAAGCACCGGCUAACUACGUGCCAGCAGCCGCGGUAAGAC
rnacentral:rRNA from 1 species